rnacentral:rRNA from 1 species
UCCGUAGGUGAACCUGCGGAAGGAUCAUUACUAGAGCAAAGGAUAGACAGCGCCCGCGGAGCCUUGCUCCCUGGGGCUACCCUACUUCGGUAAGGUUUAGAGUCGUCGGGCCUCUCGAAGAAGCUCGGUCCUGAACUCCACCCUUGAAUAAAUUACCUUUGUUGCUUUGGCGGGCCGCCUCGUGCCAGCGGCUUCGGCUGUUGCGUGCCCGCCAGAGGACCACAACUCUUGUUUUUAGUGAUGUCUGAGUACUAUAUAAUAGUUAAAACUUUCAACAACGGAUCUCUUGGUUCUGGCAUCGAUGAAGAACGCAGCGAAAUGCGAUAAGUAAUGUGAAUUGCAGAAUUCAGUGAAUCAUCGAAUCUUUGAACGCACAUUGCGCCCUCUGGUAUUCCGGGGGGCAUGCCUGUUCGAGCGUCAUUAUAACCACUCAAGCUCUCGCUUGGUAUUGGGGUUCGCGGUCUCGCGGCCCCUAAAAUCAGUGGCGGUGCCUGUCGGCUCUACGCGUAGUAAUACUCCUCGCGAUUGAGUCCGGUAGGUUUACUUGCCAGCAACCCCUAAUUUUUACAGGUUGACCUCGGAUCAGGUAGGGAUACCCGCUGAACUUAAGCAUAUCAAUAAGCGGAGGA